rnacentral:rRNA from 1 species
GACGAACGCUGGCGGCGUGCCUAAUACAUGCAAGUCGAACGCAGUGGGGAUGGGUGAGUAACACGUGGGUAACCUCCCAUCUGAGUGGAUAACACUUGGAAACAGGUGCUAAACCGAUACUGAUGUAUCGACCCUCGGUGCAUUAGCUAGUUGGUGAGGUAACGGCUCACCAAGGCGACGAUGCAUAGCCGACCUGAGAGUGUGAUCGGCCACACUGGGACUGAGACACGGCCCAGACUCCUACGGGAGGCAGCAGUGGGGAAUCGUCGGCAAUGGGCGAAAGCCUGAGCGAGCAACGCCGCGUGAAUGAAGAAGGUUUUCGGAUCGUAAAGCUCUGUUGUUAGAGAAGCGGUAUCUAAACAGAAAGCCACGGCUAACUACGUGCCAGCAGCCGCGGUAAUAC